rnacentral:tRNA from 1 species
CAUUGCGAAGCUUAAAGCGUUAACCUUUUAAGUUAAAGUCAGAGACAAGUAGUCUCCGCAAUGA